CCCUGGUUAGCUCAGUUGGAGAGCGCUCCACUUGUAAUGGAGAGGUCCCGGGUUCAAUACCCGGACCAGGCG
rnacentral:tRNA from 1 species